rnacentral:rRNA from 1 species
AUAAAAACUCAACCAACUAGUGUUAAAAUAACAGAAACAACAUGUAUUAAUGUAGUCCUUUCGUUUUAUUUAAUAACCUGUUCACCAAACAAUGUCAAAAGUCAUUCUGUAGGCAUCUUCUGGUGUUGUUGUUCAGCCGAUUUUCUGGUCACACCAUGCGCUGAAGUCUUGACCCUUAUUGGCCAGAUUUCCCGCCUCUACUG